GUUUUUUGUUAAGUGACUUAAACCUAGGAGCAGGCUGAACUCACCAAACUGGACCUCUUGACCGUAUGUGUGCUAUUGGGGCCAUUUUGAGCAUAUUAAUGCAAAUAUUUAACAAAUAAUGCAGCUUGCUUGUUUUGUUUCAAAACAUGAAGUUAGUAGCAGCGAGACGCUCAGCUCGAGGAUUCAUAAUGAGACUUCACUAACCGGUGGGCAACCUCAAGCCUGUGGAAGAGCUUCUGCCAGAGCUACACUACACUACGCCCAAACUGCUCAGGUGUGAGGCAUCCUUAACGAGGUCAGCUCCACCCACUGAUUACCUGGAAGAGACUGGCAGACAGAGCCAUCGAGGAAAGU